ACAAGCGGUGGAGUAUGUGGUUAAUUCGAUGCAACGCGAAGAACCUUACCUGGUCUUGACAUCCCGGAGACCCUUAGGAAACUAGGGGUGCUUCCAUCUGGAAGAGUCUGGAGACAGGUGCUGCAUGGCUGUCGUCAGCUCGUGUCGUGAGAUGUUGGGUUAAGUCCCGCAACGAGCGCAACCCUUGCCUUUAGUUGCCAGCAGUUCGGCUGGGCACUCUAAAGGGACUGCCGGUGUUAAACCGGAGGAAGGUGGGGAUGACGUCAAGUCCUCAUGGCCUUUAUGACCAGGGCUACACACGUACUACAAUGGCCGAUACAAAGGGCAGCGACACUGCGAGGUGAAGCCAAUCCCGUAAAAUCGGUCUCAGUCCGGAUUGGAGUCUGCAACUCGACUCCAUGAAGUUGGAAUCGCUAGUAAUCGUGGAUCAGCAUGCCACGGUGAAUACGUUCCCGGGCCUU
rnacentral:rRNA from 1 species